rnacentral:rRNA from 1 species
CUACGGGACGCACCAGUAGGGAAUAUUGGACAAUGGGCGAAAGCCUGAUCCAGCAACACCGCGUGCACGAUGACGGCCUUCGGGUUGUAAAGUGCUUUUAGAGGAGAUGAGAAAGGACAGUAUCCUCUGAAUAAGCCUCGGCGAACUACGUGCCAGCAGCCGCGGUAAAACGUAGGAGGCAAGCGUUAUCCGGAUUUAUUGGGCGUAAAGCGCGUGCAGGCGGUCUAGCAAGUUGGAUGUGAAAGCUCCCGGCUCAACUGGGAGAGGUCGUUCAAUACUGGUAGACUAGAGAAUAGGAGAGGGAGGUGGAAUUCCGGGUGUAGUGGUGAAAUGCGUAGAUAUCCGGAGGAACACCAGUGGCGAAAGCGGCCUCCUGGACUAUUUCUGACGCUAAGACGCGAAAGCUAGGGUAGCAAACGGGAUUAGAUACCCCUGUAGUC